GCAUUAGUGUUAUAUUUUCGUUAAAUUAUCUCAUUUAACGCUGAAAAUAUCAUUCUUUCGUAUACAAGGAUAGCAUAUCUUAACCAGCUAUGGUUGGAUUUUCAGCAUGAAUUUAAAAUUAUCUCUUUCAUGUUAGCGUUACAUUCUAACAUAUUUUAAAUCUUAAUUAAACUUUUUAUUGCCCUCUAAUAGUAUUAGUAGAAAAUCUAUUUGAC
rnacentral:lncRNA from 1 species